UGGGGAAUUUUGGACAAUGGGCGAAAGCCUGAUCCAGCAAUGCCGCGUGUGUGAAGAAGGCCUUCGGGUUGUAAAGCACUUUUGUCCGGAAAGAAAUCCUUGGCUCUAAUACAGUCGGGGGAUGACGGUACCGGAAGAAUAAGCACCGGCUAACUACGUGCCAGCAGCCGCGGUAAUACGUAGGGUGCAAGCGUUAAUCGGAAUUACUGGGCGUAAAGCGUGCGCAGGCGGUUUGCUAAGACCGAUGUGAAAUCCCCGGGCUCAACCUGGGAACUGCAUUGGUGACUGGCAGGCUAGAGUAUGGCAGAGGGGGGUAGAAUUCCACGUGUAGCAGUGAAAUGCGUAGAGAUGUGGAGGAAUACCGAUGGCGAAGGCAGCCCCCCUGGGCCAAAUACUGACGCUCAUGCACGAAAGCGUGGGGAGCAAAACAGGAUUAGAUACCCUGGUAGUCCACGCCCUAAACGAUGUCAACUAGUUGUUGGGGAUUCAUUUCCUUAGUAACGUAGCUAACGCGUGAAGUUGACCGCCUGGGGAGUACGGUCGCAAGAUUAAAACUCAAAGGAAUUGACGGGGUCAUAGCUGUUUCCU
rnacentral:rRNA from 1 species